rnacentral:rRNA from 1 species
UACGUAGGGGGCAAGCGUUGUUCGGAAUGACUGGGCGUAAAGGGUGCGUAGGCGGUGUAGCAAGUUAGAAGUGAAAUACCUAGAGCUUAACUCAGGUGCUGCUUCUAAAACUGCUAUACUUGAGUGCAGUAGAGGAGAGUGGAAUUCCUAGUGUAGCGGUGGAAUGCGUAGAUAUUAGGAGGAACAUCAGUGGCGAAGGCGGCUUACUGGACUGUAACUGACGUUGAGGCUCGAAAGCGUGGGGAGCAAACAGG